rnacentral:rRNA from 1 species
AUUGAACGCUGGCGGCAUGCUUUACACAUGCAAGUCGAACGGCAGCACGGGUGCUUGCACCUGGUGGCGAGUGGCGAACGGGUGAGUAAUGCAUCGGAACGUGCCCAUGAGUGGGGGAUAGCCCGGCGAAAGCCGGAUUAAUACCGCAUGCGCCCUUAGGGGGAAAGCGGGGGAUCUUCGGACCUCGCGCUAUUGGAGCGGCCGAUGUCGGAUUAGCUAGUAGGUGAGGUAAAGGCUCACCUAGGCGACGAUCCGUAGCUGGUCUGAGAGGAUGAUCAGCCACACUGGGACUGAGACACGGCCCAGACUCCUACGGGAGGCAGCAGUGGGGAAUUUUGGACAAUGGGCGCAAGCCUGAUCCAGCCAUGCCGCGUGAGUGAAGAAGGCCUCGGUUGUAAG